rnacentral:lncRNA from 1 species
GUAUUAGCUCUAGAAUUACCACAGUUAUCCAAGUAGGAGAGGAGCGAGCGACCAAAGGAACCAUAACUGAUUUAAUGAGCCAUUCGCAGUUUCACUGUACCGGCCGUGCGUACUCAGACAUGCAUGGCUUAAUCUUUGAGACAAGCAUAUGCUACUGGCAGGAUCAACCAGGUAGGUAAGGUAGAGCGCGGCGAGGCCCCGACGCGGCCGGACGGCCGGCCGGGGGGCCUCGCGAGGACGGGCCCGGCGCCCCGCAAGCGAGGAGGACGACGGACGGACGGACGGGCCGCGGACGGGCGGACGGGAGGGAGCGAGCGGGCGCGGCCGGGGACCGCUCCCCGCCGCCCGCCGGCCCCACGACACGCGCACACCAACGACACGCCCUUCUUUCUCUUUCUCUCUCUCUCUCUCUCUCCCCCGUCUCCCUCCCGAGUUCUCCGGCUCUCGCGGCCGGCGGGGCCGGGCGGCGAACGAACGAGCGAGCGAACGAACGGGCACGCGGGCCCCGCCCGCGCACGCGCCGCGUCGCGGUGGGGGGGUGGGUGUGCGGAGGGAAGCGCGCGGCGGCGGCGGCGCCGCCGCGGGCCUCGCCCUCCGGGCUCCGUUAAUGAUCCUUCCGCAGGUUCACCUAC